rnacentral:lncRNA from 1 species
CAGUUUGGCCUGAAACUUUUUUUAACAGCUUCCACAUAGUGGUGUAACAAUACAUUGAUCCACAUCAAUUAAUUAAUUAACGAUCCAUUUACAUUGAUGCACAAUGAAGACAUGGAUGAACAUCGUCAUCUUUAAGAUACACCUUUAUUUUGAAAUAAACAUACGUCCCUGCCACUAUUUCCUGGUUGGAAAUAGACUGUAGCUCCGGUGUUAGCCCCGCCCCAUCGCGACCAAUAAAUGAAUGAUGAACCUUUUCCAUCAGUGUUAUAUGGUUGGGUUUAGAUCUUAACUUGUCAUGUGGCAGUAGAUUAAUGCCCUACAUUACCUACAUGACAUGUGACCUUUCAUCUACAAUAGUUUAAAGUAGGGAUGUUCCAUUCUGAUAUAGAUAUCUGAUACUAGUCCAAUAUUAGCAAAAAACUAUUAUCACAUUAUAUAGGCCUGCAUCUAAAAUGUGUGAUAUAAACACUCUGAUCUAAUCAGUUCAUUCCAUACUCCGCUCCAGCUUUUCUAAUUAAUAGGUCAGUUUUUUUCUUUUUCUUUUUUUCCUCAACGUUGCAGAAUCGGUAAAGUUAAACUGUUUCCACUGAAGACCUUCAUUUUCCUCCACAUCAUGUGAUCUCUGAACAAACUGAUAGUUUUAGUCAAUUUCAAAGUGAUGACACUGCAAAGGAUGGAUGAAUAUUUCUAGAUCCUUCAUGUUCAUUCUGUCUCUUCCAUCCUUCAGGUGGAGCUGAUUCCAUGCUGAUGUUACAGGUGAAUGGAGGAUUGUGGAACCACUCAGCCGUGACAGCAAACAUGGACUCCUCAGAAAAGUUCCCUAUUGGUGUUCAGCUGCAGCUGAGGGGAGGGGCUUCACGUGUGUCUGUUUAUGUCUGCAGCAGUGAAUGAAGUUGUCAAUUGAAACAGGUGAGGGGGAAAAAACUAGAGAUGAACCAUAGAUAUAUUAAGAGAUGGACAUGGUGCUGUUAGUAUCGAUACCUUUGCGAGAAAGUAUAGUAUCCGAUACUAACUUUUUGGUAUUGACACUUUAUUUAGUUUUUUGACAACACUAUUCUUACCAGUGGGAAAGUUCUUGAUGAUAUAUCUCUGCUAAUCACGUCCGUAACGUGCAUACAGCUCUGAGCACAGAUAUAUAGAAGGUAGAUGAACCACUCCUCAUGAAAAAACAAUGUUCAGCUCCAUCCACAGUAUGAAAAAAAUGAUUGAACCAUGAAGAAAACACAUUUAAAAUAAAUACACAAGUGAGGGGAGGGGGGUGCA